rnacentral:rRNA from 1 species
GCAAGUCGAGCGGACCGACGGGAGCUUGCUCCCUUAGGUCAGCGGCGGACGGGUGAGUAACACGUGGGUAACCUGCCUGUAAGACUGGGAUAACUCCGGGAAACCGGGGCUAAUACCGGAUGCUUGAUUGAACCGCAUGGUUCCAAUCAUAAAAGGUGGCUUUCAGCUACCACUUACAGAUGGACCCGCGGCGCAUUAGCUAGUUGGUGAGGUAACGGCUCACCAAGGCGACGAUGCGUAGCCGACCUGAGAGGGUGAUCGGCCACACUGGGACUGAGACACGGCCCAGACUCCUACGGGAGGCAGCAGUAGGGAAUCUUCCGCAAUGGACGAAAGUCUGACGGAGCAACGCCGCGUGAGUGAUGAAGGUUUUCGGAUCGUAAAACUCUGUUGUUAGGGAAGAACAAGUACCGUUCGAAUAGGGCGGCACCUUGACGGUACCUAACCAGAAAGCCACGGCUAACUACGUGCCAGCAGCCGCGGUAAUACGUAGGUGGCAAGCGUUGUCCGGAAUUAUUGGGCGUAAAGCGCGCGCAGGCGGUUUCUUAAGUCUGAUGUGAAAGCCCCCGGCUCAACCGGGGAGGGUCAUUGGAAACUGGGGAACUUGAGUGCAGAAGAGGAGAGUGGAAUUCCACGUGUAGCGGUGAAAUGCGUAGAGAUGUGGAGGAACACCAGUGGCGAAGGCGACUCUCUGGUCUGUAACUGACGCUGAGGCGCGAAAGCGUGGGGAGCGAACAGGAUUAGAUACCCUGGUAGUCCACGCCGUAAACGAUGAGUGCUAAGUGUUAGAGGGUUUCCGCCCUUUAGUGCUGCAGCAAACGCAUUAAGCACUCCG